UGUGCAUUCAAGAUGGAGAAAAAUUAGGUCUCACUUCUCAGUUGAAACCCAAUUUGAGUUUUUCUUUUGUCACUAGUUAACGAGCAGAGAUGGAGAUCGAGCAAGCUUGUUGCUUCCAACCAUGGGUAUUUACCAGGGUUCAGAGUUCUUCUCACAGCCAACAAGGGGCAGGAUUGAGUGUCUUCAAAUCAUGGAGAUUUUGGCCAGAAUUGCAUGGAAGGAACGGGGUUUGUUGCAGUCAUUGAUUCAGCUGCUGGACGAGGUGAUUCUAGGACAAAUUCGUGAAUGGGAGAUGAGCAUAAUUGAGGGACUUGUUGCCGUGAAUUAGAUGGGUCUUGGUGUUCGAAUUUAUUCAUGUUCUGAGAUGAAAAUCAGGGAAGAAGGCAUUCCUAUGGUCUGAGAUUUGUGACUGAUUUUGUACAUCUAUAAAGGGAAGAAUUGAAGGGUUUGGCUAUGAAUUUGAAGUCAAGAGAGAAAUGAAUUGGGUUUUGCUGACGGUUGAGUAUGAGAGAUGUUCUGAUGGCAGUGGAGAAUAAGAUUUGGCGGAAACUGCAGGAAUGGGUUGUUGUUGAUGUUGUCUCAAUGGAUUUAGAUGCUGAAAUGGGUCUGUUAGGGUUUGUUACAAACGAACCUCACAGAUAUGAAGAGGAUGAUGCAGUUCUUGAGCUGAUCUUGUUGCUGUUAGACAGAAGUAAUUAUGGGUUUGUCUGAAUUCAUGGGUUUGAGCAGUUGCAAUUGGAAGAAGGGGUUAGAUGCAUGUUAGGGUUUGAACUCAGUUGAAGAGUAUGGUGUUGUUCAUGGGGAUUUAUCUGCUGUUUUAGUUGCAUCCGGAUGAGUAUCCAGAGAGGAAUCUGUUUGAUGUUGAGAAUUACAGGGAGGAGGUUCAUGAAAUUGAAGAUGCAGUUGGAGCUCAAAUGGAAUUUCUGCUGUGUGUGCAGUAAUGGAAGUGAGUUGCAGUGGUGAUGAAAUUGCAGUUGGAAACUGAGAUGGCUAGUGAUGCUGAGAUAUGGAAUUGAAGGAAUGAAGCAGAAUGGUAAGCUGGUGUGUUGGUUGGCCUGCAGCUGAGCUGAAGUGCGCAACUGGAAGCAAAGAUAUGCAAGCGGAGAUGUGUUGGUUGCAGCUGUACAGGUCAUGGUGAAUGAAUGGAUGCAUGUUUAGUGCUGAUUGCAGGGACCUAUGGACUAGAAUGAGUUGAAGCUGCAGGUGGUAAUGAAACUGAAGAGCAGCUACAACUAACAGUGGAUUGCAGAGAUCUGGCUGGAGUUGGUCGUGCUGAUGGUGCUGUGCAGCUGAAGCUGAUCCUGAGAGGGAAUUGCAGUUGCAGUCAAUAAAACCCUUUGCACAUGGAGUCACAGGAAAUGAUGCAGUGCUGAGCUGCAAUGAGGAGCGGAGAAAUAUUGAGAUGGGAAAUCAGUGAAGCUGUUAUGUAAUUUCUGUUGAAUUGAGAUGAAGUUAGGGUUCUGAGAUUCAAGGGUUUGGUGGUUGAAUAUGGUGGAUCUGAGAUGUUCGAUAAUUAGCAGUCCGUGGUGGGUCGAUUAAUGGAAUCUGAUUGAAUUGGUUUUAAUGGAUUUCUGAAGUUGAGAAGAACAAGAAGUUGCUGCCAGUAUUGGUGUUAGGAGGGAAGAAUUGGAAAAUGGGUUGAAGUCAGAUUCAGCUAGGAGUUGCAGUUGGUGCUGCAGUUUUGGUGGAGUUGCUGCUGAAGCUACAUAUGGUACUGGUAAUGGCAUUGUGGGUGCAGAGGCUACAACAAAUGGAAGUGCAAGGAGAUUCCUUUUUUUAUUGAUGCUGCUGUGAAGUUGUAUUACAGGGUUUGGCAAGAACUGAAGUCAUCUUGAAGGCACUGGUGCUGGCUGUGAAGUGCUAUACAGGGAAGAUUGAGAAGCUAUGAAGCUGGAAUGGCAGAAGUUGGUGGUUAAGAUGAUACUGCAGUUGGAGAUAGAACAGUAGAAGUGGCUUGAGGCAGAGCUGAAGAACAUGAAAGGAUCUGUUGAUGCUGACAUUACAAGGUAGGGUGAGUUAGCUGCAGCUGGUUAUGAAGCAGUUGCAGUUGAGAUGGAAGCUGCAGAAAUGAUGCAGUUGGUGUGCAGCCGAGAAAGAACCAAGUGAUGUUGUUGUUGCAGUUGUGUGGUUGGAGUUGUUAAACAGAGAAGUGGGUUCCAGGUUUGAGAAAUGGUUGCAGCUGAGCUGUAGUUGGUUUGUGAUGAGAAGGGAUUGCUCGCGUCGCUGGUGGAAUUAGGAGUUGAGCUGCAGAGAUGGUGUUGCUAUAGGUUAAUGUUGGUAUGGAGUGAACUGAUAGAUGGGGUAGUCUACCGAAUGAACGGUUUUGUAUGAGAUGGAAUUGUGCAGGGAAAUUAGCCUGAGACAGGCCGGAAAUCAACAAGAAAACAAAGGGAACACGGCUGGAAUUUCAUUCUGCCGAUUUCACUCAGUGAUCCGAUCCGACUCAGCUGAUCCGGUGCGACUCGGAUGGACUUGGACCUACUUUGAAUGGGCUUCACUUGUGGGCUGUUUUAGGAGCCGGCUUUUAGCAGGGGAUAUGGGUGCGACCUAAGUUAAGAAAUCAGAGGAGGGAAAGUAUAAAAGGGAGAAACCCACAAUUAUCUAUUAUCUUUGUAUCUUAUCUUGGUCUCUACUUUUGUUUUAUAGGGUUUAGAAACAUGAUUUUUCUCUUUAUUCUUGUGAUGAACUCCAUGAACAUGUGUAGCUAAUUAUCUUUUGGUUAAGGAAUAAGUUGGAUUUUCAAACAUGGGUUGUGCUCAAUAAAUUAGUUUCGUCUCAUGUUUUAUCGAUUA